CAGUCGAGCGGAACGAUGGAAGCUUGCUUCCAGGCGUCGAGCGGCGGACGGGUGAGUAAUGCAUAGGAAUCUGCCCGAUAGUGGGGGAUAACCUGGGGAAACCCAGGCUAAUACCGCAUACGUCCUACGGGAGAAAGCAGGGGAUCUUCGGACCUUGCGCUAUCGGAUGAGCCCAUGUCGGAUUAGCUAGUUGGUGAGGUAAUGGCUCACCAAGGCUGCGAUCCGUAGCUGGUCUGAGAGGAUGAUCAGCCACAUCGGGACUGAGACACGGCCCGAACUCCUACGGGAGGCAGCAGUGGGGAAUAUUGGACAAUGGGCGAAAGCCUGAUCCAGCCAUGCCGCGUGUGUGAAGAAGGCUUUCGGGUUGUAAAGCACUUUCAGUGGGGAAGAAAUCCUCGGGGCCAAUACCCUCGAGGGAGGACAUCACCCACAGAAGAAGCACCGGCUAACUCCGUGCCAGCAGCCGCGGUAAUACGGAGGGUGCGAGCGUUAAUCGGAAUUACUGGGCGUAAAGCGCGCGUAGGCGGCGUGAUAAGCCGGUUGUGAAAGCCCCGGGCUCAACCUGGGAACGGCAUCCGGAACUGUCAGGCUAGAGUGCAGGAGAGGAAGGUAGAAUUCCCGGUGUAGCGGUGAAAUGCGUAGAGAUCGGGAGGAAUACCAGUGGCGAAGGCGGCCUUCUGGACUGACACUGACGCUGAGGUGCGAAAGCGUGGGUAGCAAACAGGAUUAGAUACCCUGGUAGUCCACGCCGUAAACGAUGUCGACUAGCCGUUGGGGUCC
rnacentral:rRNA from 1 species